UAAGUUAAUUUGGAGUUUACUAAGAUAAAUAGCUAGUUAUGAAGCUAUUUCGAAGCUAUACGUGGGUUAUUCGAUCUACUUGAUGCAGUUUGGUCGCAGCAGGUUUCUGAACCACGUAGAGCUUAUCUGGUGACCUGGGAGGCUGGUUUAGAAGGUGUUCUACCCUGAGCAAGAUUACGAUCGAGCCCUGGAUUGUCUUCGACUGACUUGUGAGGACUUUUGGAGGUUACAUUUGAGCAGGAUUGAGGCUUCGUUGAGCUGGAUUUCGGGACUCUUGUGGACUGAAUUGGAGUUUUG